GACGAACCGUGCGAACGUUGUUCGGAAUCACUGGGCUUAAAGGGCGCGUAGGCGGCCUGCCAAGUCCGGGGUGAAAGCCCCCAGCUCAACUGGGGAAGUGCCUUGGAUACUGGCGGGCUCGAGGGGGGUAGGGGCGGACGGAACUUCCGGUGGAGCGGUGAAAUGCGUUGAUAUCGGAAGGAACGCCGGUGGCGAAAGCGGUCCGCUGGGCCCUUACUGACGCUGAGGCGCGAAAGCCAGGGGAGCAAAC
rnacentral:rRNA from 1 species